rnacentral:rRNA from 1 species
GAUGAACGCUGGCGGCGUGCUUAACACAUGCAAGUCGAACGGUGAAGCAGGAGCUUGCUCUUGUGGAUCAGUGGCGAACGGGUGAGUAACACGUGAGCAACCUGCCCCUGACUCUGGGAUAAGCGCUGGAAACGGCGUCUAAUACUGGAUAUGUGAUGUGACCGCAUGGUCUGCAUCUGGAAAGAAUUUCGGUUGGGGAUGGGCUCGCGGCCUAUCAGCUUGUUGGUGAGGUAAUGGCUCACCAAGGCGUCGACGGGUAGCCGGCCUGAGAGGGUGACCGGCCACACUGGGACUGAGACACGGCCCAGACUCCUACGGGAGGCAGCAGUGGGGAAUAUUGAACAAUGGGCGGAAGGCUGAUGCAGCAACGCCGCGUGAGGGAUGACGGCCUUCGGGUUGUAAACCUCUUGUAGCAGGGAAGAAGCGAAAGUGACGGUACCUGCAGAAAAAGCACCGGCUAACUACGUGCCAGCCGCCGCCGUAA